UCCUCUUUUGCAAAGAUUAUUCACUACCUGGAUAAGGGAAAUAGGGUCGACAUCAUUUACGUGGACUUUAGGAAGGCCUUUGAUUUGGUGUCUUAUGAGGCUCUCAAGGUAAAACUAGGGGACUAUGGGCUCAACCAUUCAAUGAUAAGAUGGGUGGAAAACUGGUGGCAGGGUCAAACCCAGAGAGUACUAAUAGGCGGAUCUGUGUUGA